rnacentral:ncRNA from 1 species
UAUCUUCAGGGCGGGGUGGAAUUCCCCACCGGCGGUGACAGUCCGCGAGCGCUCCGGCGUUGAAUCGGUGAAACUCCGAUACCGACAGUAUAGUCUGGAUGGAAGAAGAU